rnacentral:rRNA from 1 species
GUAGGUGACAAGCGUUGUCCGGAUUUACUGGGCGUAAAGAGCGCGCAGGCGGUCGGUCAAGUCGAGUGUGAAAGCCCCCGGCUCAACUGGGGAGGGUCACUCGAUACUGAUCGACUCGAAGGCAGGAGAGGGUAGUGGAAUUCCCGGUGUAGUGGUGAAAUGCGUAGAUAUCGGGAGGAACACCAGUGGCGAAGGCGACUACCUGGCCUGUUCUUGACGCUGAGGCGCGAAAGCUAGGGGAGCAAACGGGAUUAGAUACCCCGGUAGUCCUAGCCGUAAACGAUGGACACUAGGUGUUGGUGGUAUCAACCCCGCCAGUGCCGAAGCUAACGCAUUAAGCGCCCCGCCUGGGGAGUACGGCCGCAAGGCUA